rnacentral:rRNA from 1 species
CCUACGGGAGGCAGCAGUAAGGAAUAUUGGUCAAUGGACGCAAGUCUGAACCAGCCAUGCCGCGUGCAGGAUGAAGGCCCUCUGGGUUGUAAACUGCUUUUAUAGGGGACGAAAAAGGGACUUUCUAGUUCAACUGACGGUACCCUAGGAAUAAGCACCGGCUAACUCCGUGCCAGCAGCCGCGGUAAUACGGAGGGUGCAAGCGUUAUCCGGAUUUACUGGGUUUAAAGGGUGCGUAGGUGGGUCGGUAAGUCAGCGGUGAAAUCUUCGAGCUUAACUCGGAAACUGCCAUUGAUACUAUCGAUCUUGAAUCAUCUGGAGGUAAGCGGAAUAUGUCAUGUAGCGGUGAAAUGCUUAGAUAUGACAUAGAACACCAAUUGCGAAGGCAGCUUACUACGGAUGUAUUGACACUGAGGCACGAAAGCGUGGGGAUCAAACAGGAUUAGAUACCCUGGUAGUCCACGCCCUAAACGAUGGAUACUCGACAUACGUGAUAUACUAUGUGUGUCUGAGCGAAAGCAUUAAGUAUCCCACCUGGAAGUACGAUCGCAAGAUUGAAACUCAAAGAGUAGUGACGNGAGAGAGNGACGACGGACGACGAGGAGGGAGAG